ACUCCCCCUUAAAAAACAACGACUCCCUGCAAAUAGAAAACUGGCAAAUCAGGGAGAAUGGUUCCAGCCCAGCUUCAACAAUGGAACUAUGUGGUGAGCCCCCUAUAGGGAAAAAUGCAGCUUGGAGGGGUCUUUUUGAAACAAUGGGAAGAAAAAUAAAAAAGAUUAAGCUACCACCACUCCCCUUUAAUUUCCCUGUUCCAAAUUGCCCCUUCCUGCCAAAGGUGCUUUGCUUAGCAAUAGUAGUUGCCAGGGGUUCAUUGCACACAUUUGCGUGUAACUUUGAAAUUAGUCCCUGUGUCAUAUGCAUUUAGAGUGAACCUUCUCUUUCCAUGAGAGGAAAACAGUAGAGAUGGUAUACUGGACAAAUGUUAAGAUUGUUUUUCAAAGCCUCUGUAUAUAUUAUGUAACCCAUGGUGCACUCAUGUUAUCCAAGAUUCUUCAAAACAACUGAAAUUUAACAGCAUUUAAUUCUCUUUUGUCCAUGGGGCUAUUUUUCUGUGGAAUGGUAUAAUCAGAAUGGGUCCUUCUCAACAUGAAUGUGGAGAGGGGAAGAUCUGCACUGAGGAAAUAAGAGGCAGUAUGAGUAGCUGCAGAUUACUGGCUGCUGAUAGGCAGUAUGUGUUUUUGCAUGUUAUUGGCUGUUUUAGCUGCCUUAUCGUAAGAAUUCUCAAGAAGAGGGAAAGUGAGGUAUUUAAGGAGCAGCCAUUUUGGGUGUCUUCAGCUGGAACUUGGAUAGGGCAGUCAAUGCAGCCACCUCUCCUCCCUGUUUUUAUGCUUUGUCCUGAGCUCUGCUGGUCACCCUUUUUGGAGGCCAUGAGGGAAUUUUGCCUACCACCCUGAUUGGUCCUUGGGUGGAAGGAUUUUUGCCUUUAUCAGGUCAUAUCUGUUCAAUUAUUUGACUUUUAUAUGUUUUGUCACAACUUUGGUGGGAUCGAAUGGAUGGCAGAAGAAUGCAGGGCUGUUCAGAUGGUGAGAGCAGUCAGGCAUGUCAUUUAAAGUGGGGCUCAGGUUCAUACAAGGCUUGGCUGUGGGCUGUGGGGUGGGGAUCUUCAGUUUAAUGCUUGGGGCUUGGAGAACUGAGGAAAAACUCAGCUGGGCUUGACCUCGGCCUCAUCUAUUUUGCUGUCCUGGGGACUGCAUGGCCUGCAGCUUAGUCAACAGCCAGUCAGAUUGCAAUUCCUGCCUGUUCCCACUCUGGUGGGGAUUUCAGGUAAUUCUAGGGUCUUCCAUCCAGCUACCACUAUGAAGCCUUGUUGUUAUCGUUGCACAGUUAUGUAUGUUGUGGUCAGGCGCACCUUUUUACCCGUAGUUGUGUUUGAUGCCUCUUCAAAUGUUCUUUUGAACAAGUUCAGAGUACUUCUGAUUUUAAAAAUUCCAAACAACUCUCUACCAUAUUUUAAUUUUGUUAUGAUGUACGAGUGUAUGAAUUUUUCCUAACAGGGUUAGUAAAGUUAGAUUUAUUGUGUUGCAAACUGAACCCUGAAAACAUUUCUUCAACUGAAUGCUGAAUUACUGAAUACUGAAUUAUAUAUUGCACAUAUAUUAGAGGUCAGAACCUAUAUUAUUAACAUUCCAGAGGCAGGGGAGACUAAACUCUAAGCAGUCAGGAUGCUUGAAGCCAUGGAACUUAAGAACAUCUCUACCUGCUUUCCUGAAUCUCAUCCUGAAAAUGAAGCCUUUAAUGCUGAUGCAUCUGUUUUAAAUUCAGGGCAAGAUAUCUAGUGUCUAUGAUGUGUGCCUGAUUUCUGUAAGAUAUCUCAUGCUUAUUGCAUCAUUCACAUUUGCAGAUGCUCAGCAGACCAUGCUGCUCACAGUAUGACAAAGAGCAGUGCUUUGGCAAGCAAUCAAGAACGUACGGAUGCAUUCACAUGAAUCUUGCAAUGCCCUCCAGUGGAUGAUCCAGAUUAAUCAUAGAGCAGGAAGGGCAGCAACAGCUUUCACAGAACACCUCCAUGAUGGUCAGCAUAAUUCUAACCUUAAAGCAAAAUACGUGAUUCUAAGCAAGGCCUUCUCUGAAGAUGUUGGUGUUUAUGGAGGUUCAUAUGGGAGAAGAUGCUCUCCAAGAUUCCUCCAAUUUGGACUUUCUUCUUAGUGAUCUGCUGCCUAGAGGUGAAUAUGAAGUUAUCCACUGAUACUGGAUGGAAGAAUUACAUUUACAUUAUGAGGCUUCAUGAUGGAGUGUUUUGUAAGUAGCAGGUAUACUAACAUUCUGGCUUGCUGACACUGGCAAGCCAUAUAAAGAUUGUUCUUCUUCCUGUCAUCAUUACGCCUGUCAUAAUUGCUGCUUGUAACACAUUCUAAAUAAAAGACUGCAG